UUGCACUCAAGUUACUCUGGGAGCGUGUUUAAAGGGCAAGGGUUUUGAAACAUGAUCAACAAAGUAAUCAGUUCUGGAUUACACUGAAUAGCAUCCUUCCAGGUGGAACCAAGCCUUGAGAGGAAAAACAGCUUCCUUCACCCCUCCCUCCAUGAAUGAGAAUCUGUGUUUCAGAGCUUUUUAUUGAAUAUAUCCCAGUGACGCCUGUCUCCCCAGCAGGGAAUAUGCCGUCUUUCUCAGAACCGAGACUCUUCUUCGGCCCAGCGUAGCCAGAUCACAAAUAAAUGCCUUCUUGAAACCAUCCUAUGGAACCAGAGAGCUCGGGGUAAUAGGAGUCUGUGGACUGCAUCUUCAAGAGCAUCUUCAAGGACCAUACAGAUGACCCAGAAAAUACUGAAGAUCAUUGUCCUGCCUAAGGAGAGGAGCCUUUAAAGGUGAGCAUAUGCCAGCCAUUACCUAGAAGCACCAGCUUCUGCAUUAGACAUCAACAGCUCAGGAACAAAGUGGUUCAGAGAUUUACCACUCAGGCUGUACACCGUAAGCUUAUGCUUUUCUCUGAUGCCAUUUAGUUUAUGAUAGUGUUAUUAAAAUGAAAGGAUUGUUUUUAAUGAGCUGGGAGGGAAUCCACUUAACCAAAUUGUUCAUAAACAGCAUAAAACACAUCAAGACUUUGCCUUGCGCCAAUCUACCAAUACAGUAUCCUGCCGUUGCAAGAACCUUUU
rnacentral:sRNA from 1 species